rnacentral:rRNA from 1 species
UUGGAGGGCAAGUCUGGUGCCAGCAGCCGCGGUAAUUCCAGCCCCAAUAGCGUAUAUUAAAGUUGUUGCAGUUAAAAAGCUCGUAGUUGAAUUUCGGGAUCAAAUUGUCGGUCGUGCCUCGGUACGCACUGGUAUUAUUGGUUCCUACCUUCUGAAGAACCGCGAUGUCAUUAAUUUGGUGUCGUGGGGAAUCAGGACUGUUACUUUGAAAAAAUUAGAGUGUUUAAAGCAGGCUUACGCUUGAAUACAUUAGCAUGGAAUAAUGAAAUAGGACGUUUGAUUCUAUUUUGUUGGUUUCUAGGAUUGACGUAAUGAUUAAUAGGGAUAGUUGGGGGCAUUAGUAUUCAAUUGUCAGAGGUGAAAUUCUUGGAUUUAUUGAAGACUAACUACUGCGAAAGCAUUUGCCAAGGAUGUUUUCAUUAAUCAAGAACGAAAGUUAGGGGAUCGAAGACGAUCAGGUACCGUCGUAGUCUUAACCAUAAACUAUGCCGACUAGGGAUCGGAUGAUGUUAAUUUUUUAAUGACUCAUUCGGCGCCUUACGGGAAACCAAAGUGUUUGGGUUC